GUGCCGCCCAGCCCGGGCAGCGGCGGGGAGUCCCGGCAAACACCGGAACGGGGAACCGCCACAGCCGUGCCUGGCUCCGCCUGAGGGACAGCGGGUGCCACACAGACGGUGUCCUGCCCAGUGAGGUGUCACGGCAAACACGUCUAGCCCAGAGACCUUGAAGCCACUGUUCAUGCUGAUCCUGUGAAAACCACUUAGACUGACAGCAACUUUGUUCAGCAUCACUGAGGACUUCAUGCAAGCACCUGAGGAGUUUCCUACUGGAAAUCUCUCCCUAAUGCACCACAAACUUCUUCCAAGCUUUGCAAUUUUGUACUGAUUUAAGAACCCAAUGGAACGGUUGGAACAGUGUGAUUGAAAUCAAUGUAACACAAGUUAUGGUAUGAAUUUUCAGUCAAUAUCCUGCAGUCUGGGUUUGGGGAUGGGAAGGAAGGUGGAGUGCUAGUAUUGGGAACUGGAGCAGAACUGGACUGUUUCAGUUUCUUUGUAAUGCUCUGAUUGCAUAAAGGAAGCAAACAGGAGUUA